CCCAUUGAGGGGCCUUAUUUUAUUCCCAAAAUUUGGACGAUGAAUUUAUCUAUAGCAUUCCAUUCAUGUUCUGUGCAAAGCUUCCGCCGCCGUCAAUCCAUUACACUGUCGUCGACUUUUCUCCAUCACAGAAAUAAAGUUCCCAGCUCACAAAAGCAUAUCAAACUAAUGCAACAAUAUUGCAGUUUUAUUUGAGGUUUUGAAAGCAGUUAAUUGAACAGAGACGAUAUAUGAUGAGUAUGGAGUCAAUGGAUACGAGUGAGUAUGCACAUGGUCAAGAUGAAAUUCGUAAGGAAAUAUUGUCAAUACUUUGGAAUUUCUAGUGAAUCCCUCCAUAAAAUUAGAGAGAGUGUCAAACAUAUUAAAAGAUCUGAUGGAAGGAUGCUUAAGUUCAAAGAUUGUGUCGAGGAUGCAGGGAUAAAUGUUAGCGGUGGUUUAAGAUUUGAUGUAUCUACUAGAUGAAAUAACACUUAUUUGAUGCUUGAAAGUGACUUGCAAUAUAGGAAAGCUUUUGAGUUUUAUAAGGUGGCGGAUAGAAGCUAUAAAUAUUGUCCACUGAUGAGGAAUGGGAAAGGGGGGAAAAGAUUUGUGAGUUUUUAGAACCUUUUUAUGAAAUUACCAAUUUGAUUUCUGGUUCAUCUUAUCCAACUGCAAAUAUGUAUUUCAUGCAAGUGUGAAAAAUCCAGUGCAUUUUAGAAAAACAUCAAAAAAGUAUUGAUAAGGUGAUAAAAGAUAUGUCUGAUAAUAUGAAAGUGAAAUUUGACAAAUACUAGAAAAACUAUAGUGUUGUGCUAGCAUUUGGAGCUAUUCUUGAUCCACGCUUGAAGGAUAAUUUUUUGAGGUUUUGCUAUACUACACUUGAUGCCUCAACCUCUGAAGGGAAACUUAAGAAUGCAAUGGAUAAAUUCAAAGGACUUUAUGAAGAAUAUAUGAGUUAUUCUACCAAUCAAAGUGUUUCUCUUUCUCAACCAUCUAAUGAGUUCAACUCAUUGGCUAAGCUAUCUAGAGAGGGGAAUAAAGCUAAAAAAAUCAAAAAUUAUAACGGUAAGUUUUUAUAUUAACAUAUU